GGACCCCACUGCUAUCGAGGUGGGACUAAGCCAUGCUAGUCGAACGAACAGAACUAUGUCUGUAAGUGGCAUACUGCUCAGUAACACGUAGCUAACCUACCCUUAGGACGUUGAUAACCCCGAGAAAUUGGGGCUAAUAGGCGAUAGGUGUGAUGUCCUGGAAUGGUAUCACGCCCAAAGGUAUCCCAUACAUGUUUGGUAUACGCCUAAGGAUGGGGCUGCGGCCGAUCAGGCAGUUGGUGAGGUAAUGGCUCACCAAACCUUUGACCGGUACGGGCCAUGAGAGUGGUAGCCCAGAGAUGGACACUGAGACAAGGGUCCAGGCCCUACGGGGCGCAGCAGGCGCGAAACCUCCUCAAUGCACUAACGUGCGAAGGGGUUACCUCGAGUGCCACCUGAAGAAGGUGGCUUUUCCUUGGUCUAAAAAGCCUAGGGAAUAAGAGGGGGGCAAGACUGGUGUCAGCCGCCGCGGUAACACCAGCCCCUCGAGUGGUGGGGAUGAUUAUUUGGCCUAAAGCGUCCGUAGCCGGCCGGGUAAGUUUCCCGUUAAAUCCAGCGUCUCAAGCGUUGGACUGCGGGAAAUACUGCCUGGCUAGAGAGUGGGAGAGGUCAGCGGUAUUCUGGGGGUAGGGGCGAAAUCCUUUGAUCCCCGGAGGACCACCAGUGGCGAAGGCUGCUGACUAGAACACGUCUGACGGUCAGGGACGAAAGCUGGGGUAGCGAACCGGAUUAGAUACCCGGGUAGUCCCAGCCGUAAACGAUGCAUGCUAGGUGUUGGGUUGGCCACGAGCCACCCCAGUGCCGCAGGGAAGCCGUUAAGCAUGCCGCCUGGGAAGUACGAUCGCAAGGUUGAAACUUAAAGGAAUUGGCGGGGGAGCACCACCAGGCGUGAAGCCUGCGGUUUAAUUGGAGUCAACGCCGGA
rnacentral:rRNA from 1 species